rnacentral:rRNA from 1 species
UCUCCUGGAAACGGGUGGUAAUGCCGGAUGUUCCACAUGAGCGCAUGCGAGUGUGGGAAAGGCUUUUUGCGGCAUGGGAUGGGGUCGCGUCCUAUCAGCUUGUUGGUGGGGUAACGGCCUACCAAGGCGUUGACGGGUAGCCGGCCUGAGAGGGCGACCGGCCACAUUGGGACUGAGAUACGGCCCAGACUCCUACGGGAGGCAGCAGUGGGGAAUAUUGCACAAUGGGCGCAAGCCUGAUGCAGCGACGCCGCGUGCGGGAUGGAGGCCUUCGGGUUGUAAACCGCUUUUGUUCAAGGGCAAGGCACGGUUUCGGCCGUGUUGAGUGGAUUGUUCGAAUAAGCACCGGCUAACUACGUGCCAGCAGCCGCGGUAAUACGUAGGGUGCAAGCGUUGUCCGGAUUUAUUGGGCGUAAAGGGCUCGUAGGCGGUUCGUCGCGUCCGGUGUGAAAGUCCAUCGCUUAACGGUGGAUCCGCGCCGGGUACGGGCGGGCUUGAGUGCGGUAGGGGAGACUGGAAUUCCCGGUGUAACGGUGGAAUGUGUAGAUAUCGGGAAGAACACCA